CCGAAUCUUGCCGGCAUGCAGGUUAAAAACUGCCUAAAGUACCUCGGUUGUCUCUUAAGAGGCGCCGAGGGAAAAACCCCGCGAAAGAAUUUAAUUAUGCGAUGUCGGGCGAGGGGCGUCUCGCCGAGCUUUCUCUAUAGGCUCGAAACAAAGCGUACCCCACAAUUCAACCCCAUCAAAACUCUGAAUCUGAACUAUAAAGGAGGCGCGCGUUCGCCGCUGCGCCUUCUCAACCUUUAACGUUGUAAA
rnacentral:misc_RNA from 1 species